AGUGAACGCUGGCGGUAGGCCUAACACAUGCAAGUCGAACGGCAGCACAGUAAGAGCUUGCUCUUACGGGUGGCGAGUGGCGGACGGGUGAGGAAUACAUCGGAAUCUACUUUUUCGUGGGGGAUAACGUAGGGAAACUUACGCUAAUAUCGCAUACGACCUACGGGUGAAAGCAGGGGAUCUUCGGACCUUGCGCGAUUGAAUGAACCGAUGUCGGAUUAGCUAGUUGGCGGGGUAAAGGCCCACCAAGGCGACGAUCCGUAGCUGGUCUGAGAGGAUGAUCAGCCACACUGGAACUGAGACACGGUCCAGACUCCUACGGGAGGCAGCAGUGGGGAAUAUUGGACAAUGGGCGCAAGCCUGAUCCAGCCAUACCGCGUGGGUGAAGAAGGCCUUCGGGUUGUAAAGCCCUUUUGUUGGGAAAGAAAAGCAGCAGGUUAAUACCCCGCUGUUCUGACGGUACCCAAAGAAUAAGCACCGGCUAACUUCGUG
rnacentral:rRNA from 1 species